rnacentral:rRNA from 1 species
UACGGGGGGAGCAAGCGUUGUUCGGAUUUACUGGGCGUAAAGGGCGCGUAGGCGGCGUGACAAGUCACUUGUGAAAUCUCCGGGCUUAACUCGGAACGGUCAAGUGAUACUGUCGGACUAGAGUACAGAAGGGGCAACUGGAAUUCUCGGUGUAGCGGUGAAAUGCGUAGAUAUCGAGAGGAACACCUGCGGCGAAGGCGGGUUGCUGGGCUGAUACUGACGCUGAGGCGCGGAAAGCCAGGGGGAGCGAACGGG